rnacentral:rRNA from 1 species
GAUGAACGCUGGCGGCGUGCCUAAUACAUGCAAGUCGAGCGAACAGACGAGGAGCUUGCUCCUCUGACGUUAGCGGCGGACGGGUGAGUAACACGUGGAUAACCUACCUAUAAGACUGGGAUAACUUCGGGAAACCGGAGCUAAUACCGGAUAAUAUAUUGAACCGCAUGGUUCAAUAGUGAAAGACGGUUUUGCUGUCACUUAUAGAUGGAUCCGCGCCGCAUUAGCUAGUUGGUAAGGUAACGGCUUACCAAGGCAACGAUGCGUAGCCGACCUGAGAGGGUGAUCGGCCACACUGGAGCUGAGACACGGUCAAGACUCCUACGGGAGGCAGCAGUAGGGAAUCUUCCGCAAUGGGCGAAAGCCUGACGGAGCAACGCCGCGUGAGUGAUGAAGGUCUUCGGAUCGUAAAACUCUGUUAUUAGGGAAGAACAAAUGUGUGAGUAACUAUGCACGUCUUGACGGUACCUAAUCAGAAAGCCACGGCUAACUACGUG